UACGGAGGGUGCAAGCGUUAUCCGGAUUCACUGGGUUUAAAGGGUAGCGUAGGCGGGCAGGUAAGUCCGUGGUGAAAUCUCUGAGCUUAACUCAGGAAACUGCCAUGGAUACUAUUUGUCUUGAAUAUUGUGGAGGUAAGCGGAAUAUGUCAUGUAGGCGGUGAAAUGCUUAGAUAUGACAUAGAACACCAAUUGCGAAGGCAGCUUCUACACAGUUAUUGACGCUGAGGCACGAAAGCGGUGGGGAUCAAACAGG
rnacentral:rRNA from 1 species